rnacentral:rRNA from 1 species
UCGAGCGGAGAUGAGGUGUGCUUGCUACUGAUCUUAGCGGCGGACGGGUGAGUAAUACUUAGGAAUCUGGCUAUUAGUGGGGGACAACAUUUCGAAAGGGAUGCUAAUACCGCAUACGUCCUACGGGAGAAAGCAGGGGAUCUUCGGACCUUGCGCUAAUAGAUGAGCCUAAGUCGGAUUAGCUAGUUGGUGGGGUAAAGGCCUACCAAGGCGACGAUCUGUAGCGGGUCUGAGAGGAUGAUCCGCCACACUGGGACUGAGACACGGCCCAGACUCCUACGGGAGGCAGCAGUGGGGAAUAUUGGACAAUGGGGGGAACCCUGAUCCAGCCAUGCCGCGUGUGUGAAGAAGGCCUUAUGGUUGUAAAGCACUUUAAGCGAGGAGGAGGGUACUGGUAUUAAUACUACCAGGUACUGGACGUUACUCGCAGAAUAAGCACCGGCUAACUCUGUGCCAGCAGCCGCGGUAAUACAGAGGGUGCGAGCGUUAAUCGGAUUUACUGGGCGUAAAGCGUGCGUAGGCGGCUAAUUGAGUCGGAUGUGAAAUCCCCGAGCUUAACUUGGGAAUUGCAUUCGAUACUGGUUAGCUAGAGUGUGGGAGAGGAUGGUAGAAUUCCAGGUGUAGCGGUGAAAUGCGUAGAGAUCUGGAGGAAUACCGAUGGCGAAGGCAGCCAUCUGGCCUAACACUGACGCUGAGGUACGAAGCAUGGGGAGCAAACAGGAUUAGAUACCCUGGUAGUCCAUGCCGUAAACGAUGUCUACUAGCCGUUGGUCUCUUUGAGGGAUUAGUGGCGCAGCUCACGCGAUAAGUAGACCGCCUGGGGAGUACGGUCGCAAGACUAAAACUCAAUGAAUUGACGGGGGCCCGCACAAGCGGUGGAGCAUGUGGUUUAAUUCGAUGCAACGCGAGAACUUACCUGGUCUUGACAUAUAAGAACUUUCCAGAGAUGGAUUGGUGCGUCUGGACUUACAUACAGUGCUGCAUGGCUGUCGUCAGCUCGUG